GACGAACGCUGGCGGCGUGCUUAACACAUGCAAGUCGAACGAAGUGGCGAACGGGUGAGUAAUACGUGGGUAACUGCCCUCCUUUUUGGGAUAAGCCUUGGAAACGGGGUCUAAUACCGAAUAAAGGGGGAUGGGCUCGCGGCCUAUCAGCUUGUUGGUGGGGUGAUGGCCUACCAAGGCGGUGACGGGUAGCCGGCCUGAGAGGGGACCGGCCACAUUGGGCUGAGAUACGGCCCAGACUCCUACGGGAGGCAGCAGUGGGGAAUAUUGGGCAAUGGGCGCAAGCCUGACCCAGCAACGCCGCGUGAAGGAAGACGGUCUUCGGAUUGUAAACUUCUUUAGACAGGGACGCGGUACCUGUAGAAUAAGCCACGGCUAACUACGUGCCAGCAGCCGCGGUAAUAC
rnacentral:rRNA from 1 species